GGAGAGCUGGCCGAGUGGCUGAAGGCGCGCCCCUGCUAAGGGCGUAUAGGCUAACCCCUAUCGAGGGUUCGAAUCCCUCGCUCUCCGCCA
rnacentral:tRNA from 2 species